UACGAAGGGGGCUAGCGUUGUUCGGAAUUACUGGGCGUAAAGCGCACGUAGGCGGAUUUGUAAGUCAGGGGUGAAAUCCCGGGGCCCAACCUCGGAACUGCCUUUGAUACUGCAAAUCUCGAGUCCGGAAGAGGUGAGUGGAAUUCCUAGUGUAGAGGUGAAAUUCGUAGAUAUUAGGAAGAACACCAGUGGCGAAGGCGGCUCACUGGUCCGGUACUGACGCUGAGGUGCGAAAGCGUGGGGAGCAAACAGG
rnacentral:rRNA from 1 species